rnacentral:lncRNA from 1 species
GGUUUGAUUCCACUUAAUAGCCACAUGUCUUUGGGCAAGUUGUUUGACCUCUAAGUGAAACAGCCUCAUUGUCUGGAGUCACACCCGAGGUUCAUUUUCUCAUGGCCACGGAGAACAAUAAUGAGGACACAUAAAGAUUGAGGUUGAGAGCGGAAGUUUAAUAUGCAAAAGAAAGAGAAGAGUUCUCUGCUGCAGAGAGGGGUCUCAGAAAAAUGGGUUGCCGGAUCCGCGGUGAAAUGCAGGAGGUUUUAUAGAUGAGCUGGUGGGGAGGCGGCGUCUGAUCUACAUAGGCAAGAAAGGGCAAGAAAGACUGGUUAGACCAGUUGUGCUAUUUGCAUAGGGCACGAAUCUCUGGUAUCCCCCAUCCUAACCUUUUUUUAUUAUCCAGGCGCGUCUCUGCCUGAGGUGCACCAUGUUGCCCAUUUCUUUAUUACUGUACACGUGAUAACAAAAAAAGAGAAGAUGGAGCCUCCAUGUUGGACAUGGCCGCCCCCAGAAUACCAGAGUGGACUACAAAGACCCUGAGGGAGUGUGUCCUAACAGUUGGGCCUAAUGCAACAUUUAUUGACACGGGGGUUACAGAGAUGAACCUGACCCUCAUAAACUCAAACUCCAGUGGAAGCAGAGAGACCUGUCCCUAAAAAAAUUUACACCAGGUGCUGUGAUGAAACUAUGCUGAGUGCAUAGAUGGCCACAAGGGAGAAGGAUGCUUCUCUUCCUGGGGGAGUCAGGAAAUGACUUACAGAUCUCCAUCUUCAGCCUAGAUCUCUUCAUUGGCUUUUGGAUUUGUACAUACAGAUGUCUACCAAGGAACUACAUCUAGAAGUACCUCAGGCAUCUCGAAGUCCAAAACAAAACCUAUUUACCCCACCAAACCUAUUCUUUCUCCCACAUUGUCUACCUCAGUUAAUAAUAUCACCCUCCCUCCAGUCACUCAAGCACAACCUGGUGUGUUCUCUGUGUUCUGGCUCUUUAAUGCUACAAAAUAAACCUCCCCAAAACUCAGUGGUGCAGCAAUUUCUUACUGUCCUUCCUGAUUCUGGAGGUCCAUUGGCUCAGGCAGGUAGUUCUUGUUGGGUUAUCUUAGGUCAUUAAGGACAGAUGUUGUCUGGGGCUGCCGUCAUCUCAUGGCUCAGCUGGACUAGCUGCCCAAGAUGGCUCACUCCUGUGGCUGGUGGGUGAUGCUGGCUGGUAGCUAGGAGCUCAGCUGGGUGGUUUGGGCUUCUCACG